rnacentral:lncRNA from 1 species
CAAGACCCUGAACAUGAGCACUCCUUUCUUCGCUCUCCAUGGCACUCUUCCCUCCUACCGUGAGCUUCAGGCUUUCGGGGGCACCUGCUACCCCAACCUCACCGCCACCACUCCACACAAGCUCGCUCCCCGCUCUUCCUUGUUUGCCUUUAUUGGCUAUUCUCCGGACCACAAGGGCUACAGGUGCCUCGACCUCGCCACAAACCGUGUCAUCAUCUCCCGUCACGUUGUUUUCAACAAAACAACAUUGUCUUUCUCCCUUCAUCGACCUUCGCCACCCACACACGAGCUUGAUUUUCUAACUAACGACAAUUCUUCGUUAGUUUCAUUUCCACCUGCAGGUACACUGGGGGCUGCUGGCAUCCUGCAAGCACCUACGCCCUCCGAGCCGGUGGCCAACUUGGGCAC